rnacentral:rRNA from 1 species
UACAGAGGGUGCGAGCGUUAAUCGGAAUUACUGGGCGUAAAGCGCGCGUAGGCGGCUUUGCAAGUCGGGUGUGAAAUCUCGGGGCUUAACUCCGAAACUGCAUUCGAUACUGCCGUGCUUGAGGACUGGAGAGGAGACUGGAAUUUACGGUGUAGCGGUGAAAUGCGUAGAUAUCGUAAGGAAGACCAGUGGCGAAGGCGGGUCUCUGGACAGUUCCUGACGCUGAGGCACGAAGGUCAGGGGAGCAAACGGG